ACCUGCUGUGUACGUGAUGCUGCGCCAACGUUUUGAGCCAACACCCAAAGAACGGGAGUUGCCGUUUGGCGGCAAGGUGAUAGGCUUGCGUAGCCAAGACCCCAUCGCCAGGUGAACUCCCACCUGCUAACGCAGGUUCAGAACUCGCACACACGGCACGGCAGGUGGAUU
rnacentral:other from 1 species